rnacentral:rRNA from 1 species
GAUGAACGCUGGCGGCGUGCUUAACACAUGCAAGUCGAACGAAGCACUUUAACCUGAUUCUUCGGAUGAAGGUUUUUGUGACUGAGUGGCGGACGGGUGAGUAACGCGUGGGUAACCUGCCUCAUACAGGGGGAUAACAGUUAGAAAUGACUGCUAAUACCGCAUAAGACCACAGAGCCGCAUGGCUCAGUGGGAAAAACUCCGGUGGUAUGAGAUGGACCCGCGUCUGAUUAGGUAGUUGGUGGGGUAACGGCCUACCAAGCCAACGAUCAGUAGCCGACCUGAGAGGGUGACCGGCCACAUUGGGACUGAGACACGGCCCAAACUCCUACGGGAGGCAGCAGUGGGGAAUAUUGCACAAUGGGGGAAACCCUGAUGCAGCGACGCCGCGUGAGCGAAGAAGUAUUUCGGUAUGUAAAGCUCUAUCAGCAGGGAAGAA